GGUGCCAAGCAGAACGGGGAGGGCCCCAGGUGCUUGAGUCUUCUGAACAGAACUGAUUCACUUGUCUCUAAACCUGGGGGCACAAAUAUCAUCUCCAGCCUGACUCAUCCCAGAGCAAAUGGAAACGUUGCCGUAGAUCGGAGAAAACAGCCUCCGGCUGCAAGAUACCCAAAACGAGGAAACAAAAAGCAAUUGCCUAAGAUGUUGUGAGAAUGAAAUAAACAAGAUUCUUCAUGCCAUAAUAGCUGCUGACUUUGAAAGGGUAUGAAAGACUUAUUCAAAACCCAAUUCACUGUCACCAUUCAAGAGGAACCAGCAGGUGUCCUGGGGAAACGGUGGCUGGCAUCCCUUGUUCCAUGUCACCACAAGUUAUCCUGCUCGACUGCUCAGGCACGUCCACAAUGGGGGUUUGGCGUUUGCAGGCAUUGUAUUCCCAUGGAUUCUCUGAAGAAUCAGCAUUUAGAGCUUUACUGAGCUGUUGGAG
ensembl:lncRNA